rnacentral:rRNA from 1 species
GAGACCUUCGGGUCUAGUGGCGCACGGGUGCGUAACGCGUGGGAAUCUGCCCUUGGGUUCGGAAUAACAGUGAGAAAUUACUGCUAAUACCGGAUGAUGUCUUCGGACCAAAGAUUUAUCGCCCAAGGAUGAGCCCGCGUAGGAUUAGCUAGUUGGUGGGGUAAUGGCCUACCAAGGCGACGAUCCUUAGCUGGUCUGAGAGGAUGAUCAGCCACACUGGGACUGAGACACGGCCCAGACUCCUACGGGAGGCAGCAGUGGGGAAUAUUGGACAAUGGGCGAAAGCCUGAUCCAGCAAUGCCGCGUGAGUGAUGAAGGCCUUAGGGUUGUAAAGCUCUUUUACCCGGGAUGAUAAUGACAGUACCGGGAGAAUAAGCUCCGGCUAACUCCGUGCCAGCAGCCGCGGUAAUACGGAGGGAGCUAGCGUUGUUCGGAAUUACUGGGCGUAAAGCGCGCGUAGGCGGUUACUCAAGUCAGAGGUGAAAGCCCGGGGCUCAACCCCGGAACUGCCUUUGAAACUAGGUGACUAGAAUCUUGGAGAGGUCAGUGGAAUUCCGAGUGUAGAGGUGAAAUUC